AUUGAACGCUGGCGGCAUGCUUUACACAUGCAAGUCGAACGGUAACAGGCCGCAAGGUGCUGACGAGUGGCGAACGGGUGAGUAAUGCAUCGGAACGUGCCCAGCCGUGGGGGAUAACUACUCGAAAGAGUAGCUAAUACCGCAUACGAUCUAUGGAUGAAAGCGGGGGACCGUAAGGCCUCGCGCGAUUGGAGCGGCCGAUGUCAGAUUAGGUAGUUGGUGGGGUAAAGGCUCACCAAGCCAACGAUCUGUAGCUGGUCUGAGAGGACGACCAGCCACACUGGGACUGAGACACGGCCCAGACUCCUACGGGAGGCAGCAGUGGGGAAUUUUGGACAAUGGGCGCAAGCCUGAUCCAGCAAUGCCGCGUGCAGGAAGAAGGCCUUCGGGUUGUAAACUGCUUUUGUACGGAACGAAACGGCUCUGGUUAAUACCCGGGGCUAAUGACGGUACCGUAAGAAUAAGCACCGGCCAACUACGUG
rnacentral:rRNA from 1 species